AGGGCUACGAUGACCUGGAAAAGCAACUCAAAGAGGUUUUCAUGGAGAGAAGUAGCAUCCUCCGGCAACUUUCCAAAACGUCCAAGGAACUGGAGGGCAUCAAAGGAAAUCACCAGUCCACGAAAAACAAUGAAGCAUCAUCCAAGAGUGAUGUUCAAAAGCUUUUGGAAUUAGAAGAAAGGCAGAGAGAAGAAAUGAAAUCCCUGCAGGAAGCAUUCACAAAGCAACUUAAUGAGGCGAAUGAAAAGGCUGAGAAGCAUCAGGCCACU